AACGGGCUGUAGCUGGCCUCUCACGAGGCAUGUGCACGCCUGGCUCAUCCACUCUUAACCUCUGUGCACUUUAUGUAAGAGAAAAAAAUGGUGGAAGCUUCCAGGAUCUCGCGAGAGGUCUUCGGUUGAACAAGCCGUUUUUCUUUCUUAUGUUUUACUACAAACGCUUCAGUUAUAGAAUGUCAACUGUGUAUAACACAUUUAUAUACAACUUUCAGCAACGGAUCUCUUGGCUCUCGCAUCGAUGAAGAACGCAGCGAAAUGCGAUAAGUAAUGUGAAUUGCAGAAUUCAGUGAAUCAUCGAAUCUUUGAACGCACCUUGCACUCCUUGGUAUUCCGAGGAGUAUGCCUGUUUGAGUCUCAUGGUAUUCUCAACCCCUAAAUUUUUGUAAUGAAGGUUUAGCGGGCUUGGACUUGGAGGUUGUGUCGGCCCUUGUCGGUCGACUCCUCUGAAAUGCAUUAGCGUGAAUCUUACGGAUCGCCUUCAGUGUGAUAAUUAUCUGCGCUGUGGUGUUGAAGUAUUUAUGGUGUUCAUGCUUCGAACCGUCUCCUUGCCGAGACAAUCAUUUGACAAUCUGAGCUCAAAUCAGGUAGGACUACCCGCUGAACUUAAGCAUAUCAAUAAGCGGAGGAAAAGAAACUAACAAGGAUUCCCCUAGUAACUGCGAGUGAAGCGGGAAAAGCUCAAAUUUAAAAUCUGGCGGCUUUGGUCGUCCGAGUUGUAUUCUAGAGAAGUGUUUUCCGCGUUGGACCGUGUAUAAGUCUCUUGGAAUAGAGCGUCAUAGAGGGUGAGAAUCCCGUCUUUGACACGGACUACCAAUGCUUUGUGAUACACUCUCAAAGAGU
rnacentral:rRNA from 1 species